rnacentral:rRNA from 1 species
CCCUUAGAUGUUCGGGGCUGCACACGCGCUACACUGGAGGAAACAGCGUGUAUUGUCCUGGUCCGAAAGGACUGGGUAAACCUGUGAAACUUCUCCGUGCUUGGGAUAGCGGAUUGAAAUUGUUUCGCUUCAACGAGGAAUUCCUAGUAAGCGUAAGUCAUAAGCUUGCGCUGAUUACGUCCCUGCCCUUUGUACACACCGCCCGCCGCUCCUACUGAUUGGGUGAUCCGGUGAGCUGUUCGGCCAUAGCAAUGUUUCUUGAGCAGGGCAAUGAAUGUUUCGCAAACCUUGCCACUUAGAGGAAGGAGAAGUCGUAACA